rnacentral:lncRNA from 1 species
GAUGCAAUGAGGUCAGGACCCCUUUCCGCUCUGCUCUUCAAGACUCCUUUGACCGAAAGAGAGCACAUCUCAAGCAUGUCAAGUCUGGGAGAUGGACAUGGGUCUGGCUCCUCUUGGAUUCUGCCACAUUUUCAACACUAA